AUUGAACGCUGGCGGCAGGCCUAACACAUGCAAGUCGAGCGAGCGGCGGACGGGUGAGUAAUGUCUGGGGACUGUCCGAGAUAGGGGGAUAACUACUGUAAACGGUAGCUAAAACCGCAUACUAUCUGCUUACCCCUAUGGGAUUAGCUAGUAGGUGGGGUAAUGGCUCACCUAGGCGCCGCUCCCUCGCGGGUCUGAGAGGAUGAUCAGCCACACUGGGACUGAGACACGGCCCAUACUCCUACGGAGGCAGCAGUGGGGAAUAUUGCACAAUGGGCGCAAGCCUGAUGCAGCCAUGCCGCGUGUAUGAAGAAGGCCCUAGGGUUGUAAAGUACUUUCAGUCGGGAGGCGUUACCGACAGAAGAAGCACCGGCUAACUCCGUGCCAGCAGCCGCGGUAAUAC
rnacentral:rRNA from 1 species